GUAUGGAUAUUUGAUGGAGCUUCUUUUAAAAUGUAUCCCUCACUAGGUCGUUCAAUUUUCUCUUUCAUUUCCCAAUUAUUCCAUAAGAUGAUGAGACGUAGGAGCGAAAAUUAGUGAAGAAAAAGCCAGCCCAACUUGUCCUGCAUCAUGCCAAACAAAAAGAGCAGCUGAAACUAGACCAUGCAUGACCUUAACAGCAGAUGAUUGUGGGCCAUUUCGCUUAUUAAUCCAAUUGCCAUCUGCAAGGUUAGGUAUAUAAAGGGUAUGCUUGGUAUUGAGUAAUGUCAAAUACCGAACUUAGAGAAGUUGCACCCAAAAUAUGUUGAAAAGUAAUUUCCGUUUUCCAAUGGGAUUAUAGAAAUCAUAUCAUGAGCAAACCAGUGAUCUUGGCAAUGUCUUAUGAUAAUUUAACAAAAUAAAUGGAAUAUUAAUUUUCUCAUUGCUUUUUAAUAGCAGUCAGUAAAAGAUUGCUGGGCUGAUCAAAAGAAAAGGAAGCAAGCAAGAGGAAUUAGAUAUGCUAUUCAAUAUAUAGGUGAGAUACCCAAAAACACUUUUGCAGAUUCUAUAGUAAACCUGUGGGAUGCACUAAAAGGUUGAUGCGCCUAGAUGGUUAGAUUCAAUGAGCUCUUGUAUCUUGACAAUUCAAUUAAGCUGUUGACUGGUUUCUGGGCCAGGCUACGAGGAAACUUCAUGGGCUGGGCUGGACUAAAAGGCUUAUAAGUUUUCAAUUUUCUCUAUGAACGUUUUCCCUCAAAAAAAGAAAUAUAUAUUAUAUUUACUUAUUAUUUAUCAAAUAGGGAUUUUUUUUUUCUUUGUUUUUUUUUUUUUUGUCAUAGAUUAACUACAUAAGCCGUUCAACAACAAGAUUUCUACCUUUGUGCGCCAACUCAUUUGGCACUUUUGAGUUGAAGUAGACGACCAGUUGUUUGAUCAACUUGGUUCAAUUGGUUGUCGAAAUAAUUUAUAUAAUUUAAGUCCAAAUUUUCAUUUGGGUGGCAAAUUAGCCAACCUCAUGAGCCAAAAGACUUGAUCUUACAAUGAAGAGAAAUUUCACAAAUUUGCAAUAGUAUUAACUAAUUCAAAUCAACUAACUGUGGAUCUUAUAUAAAUUAAAACUUCUCUAAGGUGGCCUUUUUGUAGACAGGAAGAAGUAGCAACCAUUGGAAGUGCAUUUAGUUUUGAUAAGUCAACAGGAUUGAUAUCUAUCCCAUCUUCUUGAAGAGAAACAAUUCUGUGUUCCGGGUAAUACCUACCAAUGCAACCAGAUCACUAGAACGGGUCAACCUUCUAGUGACCGACUGGAACGUGCAGCGACAGUAACUUACUACCUCUCUUCCUAACCUUCCCACACUCCGCUUGCUUCUGUAAUCUUUUUGCACCAUUUUUGUUUUCUUUCCUUGUGUAAGGACUCAACCCACUAGCAAUAAUAACUCGUUGGGUCCAAACACCAGCCCAAAAUGCUUAAGCCCAGUUAUUAUUACUAGUGUCUAAGUCUUUUAUAAACCCAAUGACAACCCCAUUCUCAUCCGAUAUGGUAUUAUUAGGGUGUCAUAGACUCCCCCCGGUUAAGGCCCUGAUGUCCUCGUCAGUCCAAUCACACACACAGCCCAAGAUCACCAGGCGAUGUGAGACUCGUCUCGCUAACCCGUCAUCCAAACUCUGGCUCAGUCGAGACUCGCCACACAUGUCCAGCUGAUAAACCGGCUCUGAUACCAAAUGUAACGACCCAGCCCACUAGCAACAAUAACUCGUUGGGCCCAAACACCAACCCAAAAUGCUUNCGGCCUGCUGCUUCGGGCAUAGUUGCUGCUUCAGGCGGAGCAGCGCAGUCUCCCCGCCGCCGGCCGAAUUCGAUGGCCCGCCGACAAGCCUGACGGACUGCACUCGGAAAGCCGAGCAUGCCGAAUUGAUCAUCCCGCUUAAUUUUCUCUCGAGGUAGAGUUUGUUCCAUUUUGAUUUGAUAUUUAGUAGAGGUGAUCGAUUAAGAACAAAUUGUAAAUGAUAUAUAAAUAUAUAUUUGUGGAGGCUUUUUUUUUUUUUUUUUUUUUUUUUUUUUUUUUUUAGGUUUCAUUAAUAAGGUCGUUUGCUGCAGGAAAAGUCCUACAGCUGUGGUGAAAUUACGUCCUGAUCUGCUUUGUAAUUUUCGAUAAUUAAGUGUGAAAUGAGAAUUUGUAUAAAUAGUAUUUUUCUAUUUUUAAUUAAGGAUUUAUUAUUACUUAAAAUGUGUAUUAAUCAUCUGAAAAUUGUGUUAACACUCUCGCGCCUCUGUACAUACAUGAUAAAAGUUCGAAAGUUUUUUUUUUUCUUUUUUGAUAAUAAGAUAGCAUGCUAUCCGCUUCAUUCAUUAAAAGAAUGAAUUAGCCUAUAGCUAAGUUUAUUUCUAAAUCAAAUAAACGAAACGGGUAGCGUGCUACCUAUCUCUCUCUCAAAAAAAAAGAGAAAAGAAAAAAGAAUUAGCCUACAGGAGUUAGCCAACCGGGCCUCAGAUCAGAAAUCAUCAGAAAAAAAAAGGACAAACUAUCGAUUCACCGAUAGAAAUUGUUUCCACAAAUUCGACAACUGGUUAACCUUGCAGACAGCUCUAAGGGGGUCCAGCUACAUCCCUUUGAAGAUCGUAUCGUUUCGGCACUCUCAGAUGAUCCACCAGCAAACCGGUAGUUUUAUGAUCCAAUUAGCUGAACACUGUAGACCCUUCGUACGCACCCACCUAUCCCACGCCGAAUGAACGUCGCCUCCCAGCUCCCCCGCCUAUAUGCCCUCAACCGUCAUCAAUAAGAUGAAUUUAGUGUAUAUGCAGUUAAUGAACAGGUGAUCAACAAUUUCCUCAUGAGACCCACAUAGCAGUAGCACGCAAGUCGUAUCACCGAUCCACCCCCUUUUUAUAAGGUUAUCUGCCGUUAGAAAUCUCUUUUUGAGGACGAGCCAACAGAAAAUUUUUAACUUUCAGAGAUAUACAAAGUCUCCAAAGCUUGAUUGUGCGGUCAUCCCUUGUACCUCCCUCAUUCAGCACUGAGUAUGCCGACUUAACCGAGAAGCGUCCCCCAGAUCCCCAACGCCAAAGGAUCCUGUCGGGACUCUGAUCUACAAUAAAAACAGAGAUCCGAUCCUUAAGCUCCGAGAUAAUAGUGCCCAAGUCCUGCCUAGUAUCAGCCCCAUCUCCAAAUAUUUUACGCCAGUCCCAACCGUCGCUCCCCCAACAGUCCGUAACUAAAUCGUUCUUGCGUUCCGUCAAGUCAUACACCUCCGGAUAAGCCCGUUGCAAGGAAAUCUCACCGCACCAUCGAUCUAUCCAAAAGUCAAUAGUGCGUCCGUUGCCUAGUUUAUAGUGUAAUCCUUAAUGCACAGAUAAUAUAUGUAAAAUUAAGUGAUUGUAUAUCUAUGUGGAUGAAGUGAAACUACGUACGGUGCUUGAAUCAACUUUGACGAAUAUGAUUUUUUUUUUUUUGGAUAUUUUCUCGAGGUUUUGGUUGUCUCACCCCUAUAGUCUAAUUCAUACCUUCAACGAAUGAAGCAGAUAGCAUACUACUUAUUCUCAAAAAAAAAAAAAAAAAAAAAAAACUUUGACGAAUAUGUUAACUCAAAAAAUUAAUGUAAUUGAGACUAAUUAACCUAGAAAUGAUUUUAAUUAGAACGAUAACAUUAUUCUUCUCUUGGUGCGAGAGAUUGAUGCGUGGUUUGAAUGUUUGAUCCCUAUAUAUCAAUUUUCGUACGUGUGCGAUCCAACGAACAAAUGAAAAAAGUUUCUCGAGACAGAUAGUGAAUUUAAAUGUUGGCAAGUCUAAAAAAAAAAAUCCAUAAUUAAAAAUAAAUUGAAAAUUUUUUUUCCCUUUUUUUUAAAAAAAGUCGAAUUAGCCUUAUCUCGGGAAACUACUGGGAAAGCAAGUCUAACUUGAGCUUCGCUUUUAGCUCCCACAUUUUUCUCACUUGUUAUUUUAUACUGGGGUCCAUAUCUUAAUGAGAAGCAACACUUAAUAAUCAAGCGACUUUUAUUACGGUGCUUAAACGAGCAGUUGAUUGUUUCUUUAUCUUUCCUUAAAGAAUGAAAAAGAAAGAAAAUUAAUAAUAGUAGAGUAUUGGUAUGGCUAAAUUANAAUAAUAAAUUGUUGUUUAAGAGGGUGCUUAAACGAGCAGUUGAUUGUUUCUUUAUCUUUCCUUAAAGAAUGAAAAAGAAAGAAAAUUAAUAAUAGUAGAGUAUUGGUAUGGCUAAAUUAUAGAAUUUUUUUUUUUUUAGAAAAAAGUAGCGUGCUACCCGCUUCAUUCAUUCAAUAAGUGAAUUAAGCUACAUGGGUGAGGCAGCAAGGUCUCGACGAAAGGAAAAAAAAAAAAAGAAAAAAAAAAAGAAGUACGGUCACUCUACUGGACUAAGUUUCCUCCACAGCAGGCUAGAAGUUGAUACUGAAAGAAUUGACACCAUGGGGCACUUUUAAGAGUCAAACAUCUAAUAAGUGGCAAAAAUGUAUGUAUGUAUUUAUUUAUUUAUUUAUUUAUGCAGAAGAAAAAGAUGUUGGUAUGGAUAUUUGAUGGAGCUUCUUUUAAAAUGUAUCCCUCAGUAGGUCGUUCAAUUUUCUCUUUCAUUUCCCAAUUAUUCCAUAAGAUGAUGAGACGUAGGAGCGAAAAUUAGUGAAGAAAAAGCCAGCCCAACUUGUACUGCAUCAUGCCGAACAGAAAGAGCAGCUGAAACUAGACCAUGCAUGACCUUAACAGCAGAUGAUUGUGGGCCAUUUCGCUUAUUAAUCCAAU
rnacentral:lncRNA from 1 species